rnacentral:rRNA from 1 species
AUUGAACGCUGGCGGCAUGCUUUACACAUGCAAGUCGAACGGUAACAGGUUAAGCUGACGAGUGGCGAACGGGUGAGUAAUGCAUCGGAACGUGCCCGGUCGUGGGGGAUAACGCAGCGAAAGCUGCGCUAAUACCGCAUACGAUCUGAGGAUGAAAGCGGGGGACCGUAAGGCCUCGCGCGAUCGGAGCGGCCGAUGUCAGAUUAGGUAGUUGGUGGGGUAAAGGCUCACCAAGCCGACGAUCUGUAGCCGGUCUGAGAGGACGAUCAUCCACACUGGGACUGAGACACGGCCCAGACUCCUACGGGAGGCAGCAGUGGGGAAUCUUGCGCAAUGGGCGAAAGCCUGACGCAGCGACGCCGCGUGCGGGAAGAAGGCCUUCGGGUUGUAAACCGCUUUCAGGAGGGACGAAGCCACUCGGGUGAACAGCCCAGAGGGUGACGGUACCUCCAGAAGAAGCCCCGGCUAACUACGUGCCAGCCGCCGCCGUAA